ensembl:lncRNA
CAAUGCUUGAAAAGGGUAAAUAGACACCAGGAGGGCAGGGGCCAACCUCACGGCCCGUGAGGCGCUGAACCGUGCUGAGGCACUUUAAGACCUGCAGUGCCCCACCCCAACUGUUAAUGAGCUCAUUAACAGCCACUGCCCCUCUCUCCCUCAUAUCCAGCUCGGGGCAGUGGGGUUCAGAGUGAGGAGGGACUACUUCGCUGUGAAGAGCUGUGUGGAAGGGAGUCUGCCCAGGAGCCCAGGGAUGAAGGAAAUCUUGGACAUCUUUUGUUGUGCCACCACUUGUUAUCUGCUGCUAGCUGGUGUCGGGGGACUGAAAGACAAGAUAACUGACAUGCAGAAGGUUAUUAUAGCUUGAAUUGAGAGACUGGACUACUGAACAACUAUUGUCAUCGAAACAUACAGGAGUAAAGUAUGCUGUGAGCAAAGCACAAGCCAUGUACAAUACUUCAUUCAAUUGUCUUACAUUCUAAAAAUAUGUCAGGAAAAAGGGGGAAGGAACAUUAUUUCAGCAUGCAAUAAAUUAUGCAGAUUUCCCUUUGGAGGCUAUUGUGUUGUUGUUUUUUUUCUUUUCUAUACCAAAAUUGUUUAUUUUAAAGAGAACUCAGCAAAAUGAUACACACUUAGAAGACUUGUUCUCUACCACAUGAGAUUCAUCUCCACAGUAAUGAUCUGGUGCCACUGGUCCCUGUGCAUCUGGAUGUAAAGUAGUGAAUUAUGGAGCACAGCAACACUUCUUGUUUUAUGUUAAGUAUUUCAAAAGGGUUCUUGGCUAUUCAUUGUGGGGUGGGAUAUUGUAGUAGGUGGCUUUGAGCCUGGUAAACAUGUAUUACUUAUCCUUUAGAUAUGGUUUAAAGAGUAACAUCUUGUUUUCCUUUCACUGCAAUAAAAAUAAAGUACCAAAGGGUUCUUCUGGGAUUUUCCCUGGCUGCCAGACUAAUUAACCAGUGUGGUACUCUUUGUAUCAUGACUUUCAACUUUACUGAUUAUAUUUAUCAAGGAAGAUCAGCAAAAGGAUUUUCUGUUGUUUUAUUUUGAGGCUUUUUCUUACUUAAUUGAGUGAGGUGCAAAUUAGAUAAGUUCUGGUUUGGGUUGUCUGCCUCCAUCUGCAUGCAAAGAUGUGUAUUCUCUCACCUCUCUGCCGCUCCUCCUGGUAAUCCACUGUUCACUUUCAUUAAUCUUGCUAAAUCCUGUUCCGUGCGGCCUAGAACCAAACAGAUUCACUAAUGGAAGUUCAGAAAUACAUCUGUUUGUGUGAGCAUGGAAAGUGAAGGGGAGACAUAACCAUAGCAGGAAAAGGAUCGACAACUGACCUGCAAAGAGGAUUCCAUUAAUGAAAUUGAGAGAAACCAGUGUGGAAAAUGGCAGUGGUUGAGUUUCAGGCCUUACAGAGAUGAGUCCCAGAGCAGUUUCAAAUGUGCUGUGAGCCUGAGGAGGAUGGUUUGGAUGCUUGAAGCUGGUGGUGUGAUGUGCUGUUCCAUUAAGAGUUCAUUUUUGAGUGCAUUCAUGUGCUCAUGGUGUGCUGCGAGCAUGGCAGGUGGCUGCCUGUGUUCUGCUUGUGCUUGGUUGUGCGUGUGUCUGUAAGGGUGUGAAUCACCCUGCCAACAGAAAAUAAAAUGCUGGCAAAUAUUUUAAGAGCCUCUCGUGGAGUAUGGACUGUCCAAACUCUCAGGCACAACUGGAAGCUAUAUUCCACCAAUAUACAAUUCGUUUGCAUACCAGUAUCCCUAAAACACCACAUACACUGCUGUUAAAAGCUUAUCAUUUAUUAUACUCCAGUUUGUGGACAGUGCUGUGGUGACUCCAUUUUUUUUUUUUUCCCCUUUUACUGCAGUAGGCAACAGAAAUAAACAGCCACAAUGAACCAUCUAAUUCUGGAGUAGAUUGUGUGAUACCUUUACCCUUACUGAAUUGUCUGUGAUGAAUCCCAAGUUAUAACAUAAACAUAGCAGUGAAAGCAUGGAGGAGCUUCAGGUGUGAAAUACAUUUGCAGGAACUCAGUUUGCCCCCACAAGUUUUUUUGACAGAAGAGCUCACUGUAGUUUAUUUCCUACCUCAGUGGUUUGCAAUCUAGUAAGGGACUCAUCCUGCCAAACCACAAGGCAUAAACAUUUUCCUUCUUGUUAAAUCUCUCCAGAUAGCACCACACCAUCCACACAAUCUUAGCAUCUGCCCGAUAAUAUACACACACUAAUUCUUGGAAAGGUCACUUCUGCUCAAAUGUUAAUUAGAUGUUGAUGUUGUUAAAGUGUAAAUAGGCUAAAAAAUUUACCUAGAAAAAAAUCUGUUUCUUGAUAUCAUUGUAAGUAACUGUAUUUUCUUUAUGGGUUAUCUAUAUCUAUCUAUCUAUCUAUCUAUCUAUCUAUCUACCUACCUACCUACCUAUCGGUAUUAUAUGCAUUUCAAAGCUUAAUGAGGAGAAGGAUUUAUUAUUAUUGUUAGCUUAUUUUCUUCUUCUCAACUUCCUGCUCACAAAGAAAGAAGGCUCAUAAAUUUAGGAAGAACCUAAGUGCUCACUGUUAAUCAUGAAUUUAACUUCUUGUAAUCACCAACUUAAACCCUGCUUAAUAAACUAAAAAUGUUAAUAAUCUGGAAAAGGGAAAUUAAAACAAUUAAAGAUUAUUAGCUAAAUAGCCAAAGAGCAGAGGGCUUCUGCAUGGAAAUGUAUGCAGGAUAAGGAUUGCAAAUCCCAGAUGAUGAAGGAAGCUUAGUUAUUCUUUCAACUUUACUCCUCAAUCCUUCCCUAAUUCUCUGUAUAACAGUCUGGAUUUUUCUUGAAAUUAAUUGUUUUAAUUAUGGCAAAUGGCUUGAAUGGCUUCUAUGUGAGAAAAGAAUUAAAACUGUGGAUGGUUUAGUGUGGAGAGGGGACAUAAAGAGGGCACACGAUGGAGCUAUACAAAUAAUGAAUUGCCUAUACAGAAAGUAAAUCUGGUGCUUUCACUUAUCAUUUCUUAUAAUACAAGAACCAGGGGACUUAUAAUGAAACCGAAAGGCAGCAAAAUUAAAACCAUUAAAGAAAAUAAGUAUUUACACAAAUGCAUAAUUAACCUGUGGAAUUAAUUCCCACAAGAGUUCAGUGGAGCCAAGAGCUUAGUGGGGUUCGGAAAAGGAUUAGACAUUUAUAUGGAUAAUGGAAACGCCUGUAGUGGGGUUGGUUGGAGCGAGGAGUAUAAAGGGAACGCGGGACUGCAGCUCCUGCUGAGGACAGUGGCAGUGAGAUGAAGUGUAUAAAGACUCAGGCAAACUGCACUGGCGAAUCAUGGACUGACACGGGGAGGAGGAAAAUGCCUAAGGUAGGGAGUAACCCUUCAAUAAUUUUUCAUUUCCUUUGGGUAAAUAUGGCCAUUUCAUUUCCUUCUGAAAGAGAUUACACUAUGAUGAGGUGAUGUGAAAAUUACAUACAUUUAUUUGAGCAUUCAUUUUACCCCAACUGAGCCAAAGAAUAGAGGUUUUAACAUUGGGGGAAAAUGAAUUCAGAACAAAUUGUCUGUUGUUAUCAUACACAAUCGUUAUCACAGCAUUCCUGCAGAAAUGUAUAAUAAAUAAAUAUAAUUCAUCUUUGGGAACCAGAUUAAUUUCCACAAUCGGAUGAGAUGUGGUGUAAUGGGAGCUGUGUGGUCGCAGUGUUACUGGUACUGACUUCCUGUGCAUGCUGUUCUGCCCAUCCUGUACUUUAGCAUAUCGAAUUUUUCCGAGGCUUUAAUGUUUUAAAUCCUGUAAUAACAUAAUUUCUGCAGACAUAAGUUGUCCACAGUUCAUUGGGUUCCUAAAAUAAUCCAUGUUAGCUUUUCUUGUCAGGGAUCUCUGCCAACAUUCUGAAGACCAAGGCAAUUUGAUGACCUACAUGACAUUAUUAUUAAGCUCGUUUCCCCCUUUGCUGCUAAUAAUGUUACCCAAACUAGGUUCUCAAAAGCUCUGUAUCUGGUGCAUAUGGGGACUUGUUCUCUCUAAACACAGAUGUUACAGAAGAAGAUGGGAAAUAUAGCAGACAUAUGGUAGGUUGGACAUGGAUUUCCAUUUCUAUUUAGUUCAUUAGCCUUUUCAGGAUCUCUGCCAAAAGCAGCGCAAGGUGUUUUGACCCCUGCAUUGAUGGUCUCCAUGAACCCAUUUCUGUGAGUAGGCUUUCUAGUUGACCAUCAUUAUUUUGUAUCAAAACAGGAAUUCCACCUCAGCACUGCAAGGUGUUGCAAAAGGCUUUUCGUUCAUGCUCAAUUGAUUUUGAAGCAAUCUUAAAUGUAUCCCAGAGCAUUUAUUUAUGACCUAUUUCACUCUGGGUGAUACUUACAAGCUCUAAGAACAUGAUGGAUAUGAUCUAAAGUAGUUCAGUAGCUUC